rnacentral:rRNA from 1 species
GACGAACGCUGGCGGCGUGCUUAACACAUGCAAGUCGAACGGAAAGGCCCCUUUGGGGGUACUCGAGUGGCGAACGGGUGAGUAACACGUGAGUAACCUGCCCUUGACUUCGGGAUAACUUCAGGAAACUGGGGCCAAUACCGGAUAGGAAUCCUUGCUGCAUGGUGGGGGUUGGAAAGUUUCGGCGGUUUUGGAUGUGCCUGCGGGUUAUCAGCUUGUUGGUGGGGUUGUGGCUUACCGAGGCUUCGACGGGUAGCCGGCCUGAGUGGGCGACCGGCGACAUUGGGACUGAGGUACGGCCCAGACUCCUACGGGAGGCAGCAGUGGGGAAGAUUGCACAAUGGGCGGAAGCCUGAUGAAGCAACGCCGCGUGCGGGAUGACGGCCUUCGGGUUGUAGACCGCUUUCAGCAGGGGCGAAGCUUGUGGUGACGGUACCUGCAGAAGAAGCACCGGCUAACUACGUG